rnacentral:lncRNA from 1 species
UCAGAAGAAAUGGUAGAUAUUCAUAGUUGGGAGGAGGGAAGGUAGAGGGAGAAGCUGCUAUCCCAGGAGUCUAGGGAAGAAAGAGUCAAUUAAAAAAAAGUACAAGUGACCCUUAGCCCCAGGGGAGGAUGCUGUCCUGUUUUGGUAAUUGGAGGAAGGGAAGCAAGACUAGAGGAAGAUGGGAUUAGCCCGCAAAGAAGAGUAACAAGGCCUAGUAUGGGGGAGGGAAAAGAGGGGGGCGGGUCCUCUUCUGCCGCACUGCUGGUGGGAGGGGAAAGUGGGGAACCGAGUUGGUGGAUUACGUCGCUCUCACGUGACCAAGAGCUGACGUGUGCAGAAGUCCUUCUUGUCCUGGUCGUUGUUCCCGUCUGAGUACCAGCUCCCUAUUACCCUGAGGGCGGGCGAGUGCAGCCGAGAAAAGAAGGAGGCGGAAAAGAAAUUGUCCCAGAUCCCUGCAGUCUUUCCGUAGGUUGCGGUACAACGCCAGGCAAGAGAAGAGGAAGGAAAAACCAGAACUGUGAAGGUCGAGUUGAGGGUCUGCUGUAGCAGGUGGCACUGCUUGAACCAAGGGAGGAACUUUCCCCCGGAUCAGUAGAGGUCGGUGUGGGCGUGGGGGCAGCCUGGAAUGGGGGAGGGGUUAGAAAUCAGCUUGGGUUUGGCCAGGCUCACUCAAUCCUACUUUGUUUCCUUGUGUCCACCCAUUUCAGACCAGGGAGGGGGCACAGCAUGUGCGUGUUUUGGAUGGCACAGUGAGGUUUAACCAAAAUCUGACGCCCUAGAUGGUAAAUUAGGAAAGCAUCAAAUACACACUGGAUGCGUCAAACCCUCGGGUUUUUUUUUUUUUCUUCUUCUUCCACUUCUUCUGGUAUCCCUGCAGAUCAGAAAGACUGUUGGGCGUGGCAUAACUCACAGGAAAGGAAGAAGGGGCAAGCUGCUGUUUUAAGGAGGUUUACCUCUGUAAGCAAUUACUGUGGCCUUGACGUGACUUGAAGAAGAUCACUCUCCACAGGACUGCACUCAGGCCCGAAGGCCUCUUCCCUUAUCUUGAGUGACUACUCUAUUUCUUGGUCCCUG